CAGUGCCGCGGUAAUGCGAAGGGGGCUAGCGUUGCUCGGAAUGACUGGGCGUAAAGGGCGCGUAGGCGGCGGCCAAAGUCAGGCGUGAAAUUCCCGGGCUCAACCUGGGGGCUGCGUUCGAUACUUGGUUGCUUGAGUGGGGAAGAGGGUCGUGGAAUUCCCAGUGUAGAGGUGAAAUUCGUAGAUAUUGGGAAGAACACCGGUGGCGAAGGCGGCGUCCUGGUCCUUUACUGACGCUGAGGCGCGAAAGCGUGGGGAGCAAACAGGAUUAGAUACCCCCGUAGUCCCUGUCUCUUAUACC
rnacentral:rRNA from 1 species